CGUGCAGGCGGUCGAGUAAGUCAGAUGUGAAAGCCUUUCGCUUAACGAGAGAAGUGCAUUUGAAACUGCUCGGCUAGAGUACGGGAGAGGAGAGUGGAAUUCCCGGUGUAGAGGUGAAAUUCGUAGAUAUCGGGAGGAACACCAGUGGCGAAGGCGGCUCUCUGGUCCGAUACUGACGCUGAGACGCGAAAGCGUGGGGAGCAAACAGGAUUAGAUACCCUGGUAGUCCACGCCGUAAACGAUGGGCACUAGGUGUAGGAGGUAUUGACCCCUUCUGUGCCGAAGCUAACGCAUUAAGUGCCCCGCCUGGGGAGUACGGCCGCAAGGCUAAA
rnacentral:rRNA from 1 species